rnacentral:lncRNA from 1 species
UCUCGCCGUACCCCCGCAGACACCGGUAUUUCAUCCUGCCACGGCCAUGAAUCUGGCUCGGCCUGAUGUGCCGCAGUCAGUCUCCGGCAUACAGCUGCUGCCUCGGGCUGAGAAGGCACCCUGUGAGGGUCAUCGUGCGGCGUGGCUUCAUGAGCUGUCUCUGUGCUUUCCUGCAGGACGCAGUCGGGCCAGACGGUCACGGCGGCUACCAUCUCGUCGUGGCCCUGGCACACGCCCUCGUGGACCUGCGUCACCGCACCUUUGUAACCCAACGGCAGGCCAGAGAAAUUAUCGCUCUCUGGCAGAAACUGUCUGACCGGGACAAGGCAGCGGUGUUCCCCUCCCGCUACCUUCUUAAGACGAGCCAUCCAGCCAGUGUGAGGCGUGCUGUCCUGGGCCAGGGCGCGGGGCCGGCACAUUCUCCCAAGACCAGCAGACUUAUGGAGGCCAUCCUGCUGGAACUGUGCCGCACGCACCUCCACGACCGGACUACGAUCGCCGGGGUCUGCAUCCGUUGCUGGGGUGCCGUCAUGAGGGACUACAGAAUAAUCAAGAACAAUCUCUACACCAAUCCUACCCUCGUGGCGAGCACCCGCAUCCAGCUUUUCGUCAUUAGCCAACUGACCCUUACGCAAUGGUAAGAUUCUGUUUAUCACGUCGGUUUAAUAUAGUUGCAGGAUGUGUGUAU